CAAGGGAAGGAAGUAGCCAAC
rnacentral:miRNA from 1 species